rnacentral:rRNA from 1 species
AUACGGAGACUGCAAGCGUUAUUCGGAUUCACUGGGCGUAAAGCGCGCGUAGGCGGAUGAUUAAGUCAGUUGUGAAAGCCCUGGGCUCAACCUAGGAACUGCAUCUGAUACUGGUCGUCUAGAGUUUAAGAGAGGGAAGUGGAAUUCCAGGUGUAGCAGUGAAAUGCGUAGAUAUCUGGAGGAACAUCAGUGGCGAAGGCGACUUCCUGGCUUAAAACUGACGCUGAGGUGCGAAAGCGUGGGUAGCGAACGGGAUUAGAAACCCCAGUAGUCC